GAUGAACGCUGGCGGCGUGCAUAACACAUUCAAGUCGAACGGAGUUAUCUGAAUUAAUCCUUCGGGAAGCGUGAGGAUAACUUAGUGGCGGACGGGUGAGUAACGCGUGAGCAACCUGCCUCUGUAUGUGGGAUAACGUCGGGAAACUGACGCUAAUACCGCAUGAUGCAUAGAAGUCGCAUGUCUUUUAUGCCAAAGAUUUAUUGUACAGAGGUGGGCUCGCGUCUGAUUAGGUAGUUGGUAGGGUAACGGCCUACCAAGCCGACGAUCAGUAGCCGGACUGAGAGGUUGAACGGCCACAUUGGAACUGAGAUACGGUCCAG
rnacentral:rRNA from 1 species